rnacentral:rRNA from 1 species
AAAGGAGAAAUCCGGUAUGAGAUGGGCUCGCGUCGCAUUAGCUAGUUGGUGAGGUAACGGCCCACCAAGGCGACGAUGCGUAGCCGACCUGAGAGGGUGAUCGGCCACAUUGGGACUGAGAUACGGCCCAGACUCCUACGGGAGGCAGCAGUGGGGAAUAUUGGGCAAUGGAGGAAACUCUGACCCAGCAAUGCCGCGUGAAUGAAGAAGGUCUUCGGAUUGUAAAGUUCUUUAGUCAGGGAAGAAUAAAAUGACGGUACCUGAAGAAUAAGCUCCGGCUAACUACGUGCCAGCAGCCGCGGUAAUACGUAGGGAGCAAGCGUUGUUCGGAAUGACUGGGCGUAAAGGGUGCGUAGGCGGUUAUACAAGUUAGAAGUGAAAUACCCAGAGCUUAACUCGGGUGCUGCUUCUAAAACUGUAAGACUUGAGUGCAGUAGAGGUUAGUGGAAUUCCUAGUGUAGCGGUGGAAUGCGUAGAUAUUAGGAGGAACACCAGAGGCGAAGGCGGCUAACUGGACUGCAACUGACGCUGAGGCACGAAAGUGUGGGGAGCAAACAGGAUUAGAUACCCUGGUAGUCCACACUGUAAACGAUGGAUACUAGAUGUAGGAGGUAUCGACUCCUUCU